AUUGAACGCUGGCGGCAGGCUUAACACAUGCAAGUCGAGCGGAGCGAGGGUGCUUGCACCUUAGCUUAGCGGCGGACGGGUGAGUAAUGCUUAGGAAUCUGCCUAUUAGUGGGGGACAACAUUCCGAAAGGAAUGCUAAUACCGCAUACGCCCUACGGGGGAAAGCAGGGGAUCUUCGGACCUUGCGCUAAUAGAUGAGCCUAAGUCGGAUUAGCUAGUUGGUGGGGUAAAGGCCUACCAAGGCGACGAUCUGUAGCGGGUCUGAGAGGAUGAUCCGCCACACUGGGACUGAGACACGGCCCAGACUCCUACGGGAGGCAGCAGUGGGGAAUAUUGGACAAUGGGCGCAAGCCUGAUCCAGCCAUGCCGCGUGUGUGAAGAAGGCCUUAUGGUUGUAAAGCACUUUAAGCGAGGAGGAGGCUCUUUUGGUUAAUACCCAAGAUGAGUGGACGUUACUCGCAGAAUAAGCACCGGCUAACUCUGUGCCAGCAGCCGCGGUAA
rnacentral:rRNA from 1 species